UACGUAGGGUGCAAGCGUUAAUCGGAAUUACUGGGCGUAAAGCGUGCGCAGACGGUUGCGUAAGUCAGAUGUGAAAGCCCCGGGCUCAACCUGGGAAUUGCAAUGGAUACUGGCAGGCUAGAGUGCGGUAGAGGGUAGUGGAAUUCCCGGUGUAGCGGUGAAAUGCGUAGAGAUCGGGAGGAACACCCGUGGCGAAGGCGGCCUGCUGGGCCGGUCCUGACGCUGAUGCGCGAAGGCGUGGGGAGCGAACGGG
rnacentral:rRNA from 1 species